GCUGCUCAGAAGGUUCCUGUGGCCGCAGCUAAGAAAACCCCAGCUCCUGCAGCUGCUCAGCAGCAGCAAUCCAAGCCGACGGCUAAUCUUCCUUCGAAGCCGCUCCCCCCAGCUCAAGCUGGUUAGCUUUCCUUUUUCCUCUCUCCAUCCUUCUUUUAUUUCUUCCCUUUUGAGUAUCUUAUUUGUUUUGCACACUUUUUUAUCGAAGCGUUAAUGGGCGUUAGGGGUUUUUGUACUUCGAUGCUAUUUAGUGAGAAAGCAGCAAGUAAAAAUGGUAACAGUUCUCUUUAGAAUUUGAAAUGGAUGAGAUAAUUAUUGUAUGUUGAGUUGAUAAACUUGAUAUGAAAUGCAAAGGAACAGAUAAAAUUUUGAAUUUUGCUCUAAUUUGUUCACGUUAUUUUUGGCUACCGUUGAUUUUUUUUUUCUCCUUCUUUUUUAUUUACUUUUGUCAAAAUUUAUUAGUAUUUGUUUUAGCACAGGUUUUUGUCUUGUUUAACAUAAGCACUAUUUAAGAUUGUGAAAACUUCAAUUAUGCUGGAAGAUUGCUGUGCGCUCCAGUGGUGACUUUUUUUUGUAAGUAUCAUUUCCGAUGUUGAUGUUAAUUUUUAGCUUUUCGAAUCAAAUUUGGCUAUUUACUUUUCCGUUUUUAUCUUGAUACAAAAAUCUCUAUUUCUUAUUCAAUUACUGAUUGAAGGAUUUGCAGUACUCUCAAUUUUCAAGUAAAAGGUUGCCGCUAAAGCUCAAGUGGAUGCUCCCUUCUACUUAAACAAAAUUUUGGCCUUUCUUUGUUUCUUCGUUCAGCUUUAUCAUUUUCCUUAAAUAAUUUUGGGUUUCUUCAUUGUGUAGGUCUAUGCAGCUGCUACUGUCUUUCUUGUACCAUUUUUGGAGAGGAAGGGAAAUUUCCUGAGGUCAUGCAAGCUGCACAACCUGUUAAUGUGCCAGAUUAUCACUCUAUAGACAGAAGCUUAGCUAAAAGGACAUUACAGAUGUAACUAACAAGGACUUCGAUGCAAAAAAAAGAUUGGAAAUGAUUCAGAUAUGUUGUCUUCAAUUGAGUCAAAAAGUGCAUUGGUUGGGAAUGAGCCAAAAAAUGAAGGAUUAUUGUCUGCUACAUCCUCCUCACAUGGCAAGCUGCUGAAGAUUGUAAUGCAAAAAUACAUAAGGAGCUAUCCAAAUGACUAAAAGCCUUUUUAGUGAUAGCCUCUGGAGUUCUGCCUCCGCUGUAGGUGCUCAGUUGGUGGCUGCAGUUGACGAGGCCAAAAAGGUGAUUCAGACAAGGGACAUUCAAGUGGAGGAGGCAACUGUUGGUGAUGAAGGGAAGGAUGCCUCUAUACUAGGUGUCAAGUCUGUGGCUGCUGUUGGAGAGGCUGAAGAGGUCAAAGAAGUGGUUGAGACGGGAAUUUGAAGUGGAGAACACAACUGUAGGUGAUGCAGGGAAGGAUGCAUCUAACACACCUAUUUCUUUCCAACUUGAUAGUGCCGAAUUUGUUGCUACAAGGAGCAAUGAUGUGGUGGUUGACGAAGCUGUGGCCAUGGUUGGAGGAGAAAAGCCCCUUGCUUGGCUAGACAAUUUGCAAUCAAGCGCUAAUGAAUCAGUCACAGUUGAGCAAGAUGCAGAAAUGGUGGUGAUACCCGUGAAAUCUUCUGUAGUGGUGACAGGAGAGGAGAAAGAGGAGUUACCUGACGGUAAAGAAGUAAUAGUAGAUGAGAUUGUGAAAAUCGAGAUUAAGGUGGACAUGGAGAUAUCCACUUCGGCUGCUGAGGUAACUGAAGGUGAAAAUAUUAUGGGUUCACAUGGUUUACAAUUGGAUGAUAAUGAACCUCCAAAUUCAGCUAAAGAAGAGGUGGAUAAAGAGAUAAGUAUUAGUGAGGAGACAGGUAUUGUAGGCAACGCAACAAUGGAUGACAUAAAAAAAUGGAAGAUAGUAAGAGUGGGGUGGUGGAGGAGGAAACUCUUCUAGCCAAUGCGGAGAUGGAUGAAAAGAAGCAAAUGGCAGCACCUGAAAAUUCUGUGCCAAAUGAUUUGGAGUUUGUUGGUAGCAAAAUAAGGAAAAUAUUCAGGAGGAGGGGAUUCCAACUGCGGACACUGAAAUGGAGAAGAAGAUUGACGCUGAAAUGGUGACUACUAGGGUUAGUGAUGUUGAAUCCAAUGCUAAAAUAGAUGAUUCAGUGUCUGUUCCACAAGAUGAGGAAGAUGAAGACAUGGUUGCUCAGGAGGGAUCUGCUCUGGCAGAGACGGAAUUGGAAACUGAAACAGGUGUUGGGGAGUCAAGCAAGGCUGCUGGAGAGAAGCGCAAGAGGGGGAAGAAUUCUAAAAAUUUGACUAAUUCUAAAAUUGGAUGAAGAACUCAAAAGGUAAUGGAUGAGGAUGUUUGUUUCAUUUGCUUUGAUGGGGGGGACCUUGUGCUGUGUGACCGGCGGGGUUGCCCCAAGACAUAUCAUCCUUCUUGUGUUAAUCGGGAUGAGGCAUUCUGCCGUGCAAAGGGCAAAUGGAAUUGUGGUUGGCAUAUUUGUAGCACUUGUCAAAAGAAUGCCUAUUACAUGUGUCUUACCUGUCCUUUUGCCUUGUGCAAAAGAUGUGUGAAAGAUGCUGCUUUCUUGUGUCCUAGGAAAUAAAGGCUUUUGUGAGACAUGAAUGAGGAUUGUCAAGCUAAUUGAAAGCUAUGACAAAGACACUAACAAUCGAAUUUUAUGGUGGGGUUAAGAUCUGUUGCUAAUGAAGAGGAAUCUGCUGGUGCGGUUGUGAGAGGAGGUGGUGAAGACAUUUCUUCACCAGGCAAGACUGAAUGGGCAUCAGAAGAACUUCUGGAAUUUGUUGUGCACAUGAAAAAUGGUGAUAAAUCUGUUCUGUCUCAAUUUGAUGUUCAGGCUCUCCUGCUUGAAUAUAUCAGACAACUUUUAUGUAGCACUGCAGUGACUUCAGCAAUAUAUUUGAAUCAGCCAUUCUGCUGUAUAUGUAAAUGGUACCAAACAAUUCUUGUACAAUAUUCCAAUGACUUUAUUCUUUUGAAUUA